rnacentral:sRNA from 1 species
UUAUUGUCCAGGUAAAAGAGGUCAGCAAACAGAACGCGAACUCGGUCAAAUCAAAGGAAGUUCCUCUGAAAGUUUCCAGAAGAAAACCUUGAAGAUAAAUCCUUAGUCAUGCUUUCUGAAUCAAAAUUUAUACUUUUCCUUCCAGCUGUCAGAUCCUUUUCACGGUCCCAUGGCUUCCAUGGAUGUUGACCCAUCCACUCUUGCUUCCCUGGCUGUUGCUUCACUUGCUUAGACUUUUUCUUGGAUUUGUUAGCCACCUCUUCUUGAUGUUUCUGCACCAAUGUUUUUGACCGUUUUGCUUUAUUGUAUUUGUCCACCAAGUCUGCAUCCUCACUGGCCCUUUUCUUAUCCUCAUCAUUUGAAGCUAGUGCAGUAGCUUCAUUGUAUGCCUCCAAA